GAUGAACGAUGACAGAAUGAUUAACACAGCAAGUCGACUCGAGUCUUCGGACUUGGGUGGCGCACGGGUGAGUAACGCGUAAAGAACUUGCCUCUUAGACCGGGACAACAUCUGGAAACGGAUGCUAAUACCGGAUAUUAUGGUUUUUUCGCAUGGAGGAAUCAUGAAAGCUAGAUGCGCUAAGAGAGAGCUUUGCGUCCCAUUAGCUGGUUGGUGAGGUAACGGCCCACCAAGGCAAUGAUGGGUAGCCGGCCUGAGAGGGUGAACGGCCACAAGGGGACUGAGACACGGCCCUUACUCCUACGGGAGGCAGCAGUGGGGAAUAUUGGACAAUGGACCGCAAGUCUGAUCCAGCAAUUCUGUGUGCACGAUGACGUUUUUCGGAAUGUAAAGUGCUUUCAGUCGGGAAGAAGUCAGUGACGGUACCGACAGAAGAAGCGACGGCUAAAUACGUGCCAGCAGCCGCGGUAAUACGUAUGUCGCAAGCGUUAUCCGGAUUUAUUGGGCGUAAAGCGCGUCUAGGCGGCAAGGAAAGUCUGAUGUGAAAAUGCGGAGCUCAACUCCGUAUGGCGUUGGAAACUGCCUUACUAGAGUACUGGAGAGGUAGGCGGAACUACAAGUGUAGAGGUGAAAUUCGUAGAUAUUUGUAGGAAUGCCGAUGGGGAAGCCAGCCUACUGGACAGAUACUGACGCUAAAGCGCGAAAGCGUGGGUAGCAAACAGG
rnacentral:rRNA from 1 species